rnacentral:tRNA from 1 species
GCCACACUGGUGUAGUGGUUAUCAGAUUUGCCUAAAAACCAGAAGGUCCCCAGUUCGAGCCUGGGUAGUGUCA